UAUCACAGCCUGCUUUGAUGAGA
rnacentral:ncRNA from 5 species